rnacentral:rRNA from 1 species
CUGGCCGUKAGGCCGGCGAGUCCUUUGAAAUGUAAGAUACUGUUCUUCUCUUUGCUGGAAAAGCGUGCGUUGUGUGGUUGUGGAGGCUGC